CAAACUAUAGAACGGACAAAAAAAACCGUCAGAAUUUUUUUUAUCUAAUUUAAAAACUUGUUUGUUUGAGGAGAAAACGGUGGAAAAUAAAACGAUGCGAUAUGUACCUCGACGGUGUUGGGGAGGAGCAGAAGAAGCAGAAAUUUUCUGAGAUUAAAAUUGGACUGGAUGAUGCCGAAGCUUUGGUAAUAUGCUGUAUAGCAUACAAAUUUCACUUGUUUUUGCUUUUUCUGGAAAGCUUCAUGGUUUAUAUACUUUCCUUGUUUGUUUAUGUGAAUGAGUGAUGGGAUUUCUUUUGGGGGCUUAUUGGGUAGUUUCUCGUUCAAGUGUUUGAAGCAGAAACCGUUGACUACUUGAACUACCUUUGCUACUGGCUAUGACAUGAUAUGAAAACUGAACCAAAAUUGUGUAUC